AUUGAACGCUGGCGGCAUGCCUAACACAUGCAAGUCGAACGAGUGGCGGACGGGUGAGUAAUGUCUGGGAAAGUGCCUGAUGGAGGGGGAUAACUACUGGAAACGGUAGCUAAUACCGCAUACCAUCGGAUGUGCCCAGAUGGGAUUAGCUAGUAGGUGGGGUAAAGGCUCACCUAGGCGACGAUCCCUAGCUGGUCUGAGAGGAUGACCGGCCACACGGGAACUGAGACACGGUCCAGACUCCUACGGGAGGCAGCAGUGGGGAAUAUUGGACAAUGGGCGAAAGCCUGAUGCAGCCAUGCCGCGUGUAUGAAGAAGGCCUUCGGGUUGUAAAGUACUUUCGGCAGAGAAGCGUUACCCGCAGAAGAAGCACCGGCUAACUCCGUGCCAGCAGCCGCGGUAAUAC
rnacentral:rRNA from 1 species